rnacentral:rRNA from 1 species
UACGAAGGGGGCUAGCGUUGUUCGGAAUCACUGGGCGUAAAGCGCUCGUAGGCGGAUCUUUAAGUCAGAGGUGAAAUCCCAAGGCUCAACCUUGGAACUGCCUUUGAUACUGGGGAUCUCGAGUCCGGGAGAGGUGAGUGGAACUGCGAGUGUAGAGGUGAAAUUCGUAGAUAUUCGCAAGAACACCAGUGGCGAAGGCGGCUCACUGGCCCGGUACUGACGCUGAGGCACGAAAGCGUGGGGAGCGAACGGG